GACGAACGCUGGCGGCGUGCCUAAUACAUGCAAGUCGACCUUAGUGGCGGACGGGUGAGUAAUGCCUAGGAAUCUGCCUGGUAGUGGGGGAUAACGUCCGGAAACGGGCGCUAAUACCGCAUACUAUCAGAUGAGCCUAGGUCGGAUUAGCUAGUUGGUGGGGUAAAGGCCUACCAAGGCGACGAUCCGUAACUGGUCUGAGAGGGCGACCGGCCACACUGGGACUGAGACACGGCCCAGACUCCUACGGGAGGCAGCAGUAGGGAAUCUUCGGCAAUGGACGAAAGUCUGACCGAGCAACGCCGCGUGAGUGAAGAAGGUCUUCGGAUUGUAAAGCACUUUAAGUUGGGAGGCGUUACCAACAGAAUAAGCACCGGCUAACUUCGUGCCAGCAGCCGCGGUAAUUC
rnacentral:rRNA from 1 species